GCCAUACCAUGCUGAAAUCACCGGUUCUUGUCUGAUCACCGUAGUUAAGCAGCAUCGGGCGCGACCAGUACUUGGGAGGGUGACCACAUGUAAACAC